rnacentral:lncRNA from 1 species
GGCGUCAGUGUGAAGGGAAGGCUAAGGACGCAUCGGUGCUGGAGAGUUGAGAAUAUGCCUUCCCCUCCACCCCCAACCCAGUCACCUUAUUUGAAAAAAAAUUAAAAAACACCUUUUAUUUAAAAACCUAACCCUGGAAGUUUGCUCGUCAAUUGGUAAUCAACACCGAUUACAGAGAACAGCUUCUCCACCUGGGUAUAAGAUGACUGCUGCUUCAGGCCUCACUGCCCAUCUAGCCCCAGAUCCUGCCAUUCCCCACAGCAUCCUAUGCUCCAGUGAAACUUCCUCAGCAUUCCCAAUCUCAUCCAGAUGGCCCACUCCUCCAUGAUUCUUCACACCUGCUGUGUGCUUCCAGACUUUGUUCUUUGGGAAACCUCCUGCACAUCCCCUCAUGGGGCUCCCUGCUCCCAGCCUCAUCAACUCCUCGAUACCUUUCCCAUCAACCCGCCUUCCACCACAGUCUAUGCUGAGAAAGGUCCUGCUCACACAGACACAGUUCCUGCCCUCCUGAGGCUGACAUUCCAGGUGAGGAGAAAGAUGAUAGACGUGCAUGGGAAAUGAUGCCAGGAAGUGCCAUGACAAAGAUACAACAGAGGUUUUUCUUGUUUGACUUUCGCCGUAGACUAUGAACUCUUUGAAAGCAGAGACGGUAAAUCUAGCAUAGAGUGGAGUGUUAGCAUAUACUACAUGUCAGUCAAUGUUGAAUGAAUGAGCAAAUGAAAGGCAUAUUUAGUGGACUUCUCAUGAUGUUUCCAAUCCUUCCAAUAAUGGAAGAAAUAAAAGAAAUAAAUAAUAAUUUUACUUAU